rnacentral:rRNA from 1 species
GGGUGGGCGACACUCGUCUGUUGCUGGAAAUAAACCUCCUCAGGGAGUCAAUCAGCUGCUGUGCGCUCCCCAAGCGCAUAGCCCACAGAUCAAACACGAGUGGCUGUCUCCGAGUCGGUUAAGAUAUGACCGUAGCGGCUCCGCAAGGAGAUCGGUAUACUAGUUCCGUAGGUGAACCUGCGGAAGGAU